rnacentral:hammerhead_ribozyme from 1 species
CUGCCACUGAGGAGUCCCAUAAUAGGACGAAACAGUCUUUAUAGCAG